rnacentral:misc_RNA from 1 species
UAAACAUCUAGUAAAUAAUGCGAUCAAAUCCAUUAAACAAAUCUUAUUAACCAACGAACUAAAACAGAACCACUGAUUUAGAAUUCAACAUAAGCACGAUCUAGAUUCUCAUGUUCCAAUGAAUAAAAAUGGAUCCAGUUUAGGACCUAAGGCAAAGACUCAGACGCAACUUCUGUACUUAAUCAAACAAAGAUCUCCAAAUCCAUACUCGAAUCAAGAAAAUGCACUC